AUAUGAUGAAAACAAACUCCAUGCCAGUGUGUCCUUGAACCAGUGCCUGGCCUCUGUGCCUGCAGGUAGCUGGCACUGAAACGGGUUGCACAGUG
rnacentral:snoRNA from 1 species